UACGUAGGGUGCGAGCGUUAAUCGGAAUUACUGGGCGUAAAGCGUGCGCAGGCGGUUCGCUAAGACCGAUGUGAAAUCCCCGGGCUUAACCUGGGAACUGCAUUGGUGACUGGCGGGCUAGAGUAUGGCAGAGGGGGGUAGAAUUCCACGUGUAGCAGUGAAAUGCGUAGAGAUGCGGAGGAACACCGAUGGCGAAGGCAGCCCCCUGGGCUGACACUGACGCUCAGGCACGAAAGCGUGGGGAGCAAACAGG
rnacentral:rRNA from 1 species